UACGUAGGGGGCUAGCGUUGUCCGGAAUCAUUGGGCGUAAAGCGCGCGUAGGCGGCCCGGUAAGUCCGCUGUAAAAGUCAAAGGCUCAACCUUUGAAUGUCAGUGGAUACUGCCGGGCUAGAGUCCGGAAGAGGCGAGUGGAACUCCUGGUGUAGCGGUGGAAUGCGCAGAUAUCAGGAAGAACACCGACGGCGAAGGCAGCUCGCUGGGACGGUACUGACGCUGAGGAGCGAAAGCGUGGGGAGCAAACAGG
rnacentral:rRNA from 1 species